UUUCUCAAGUCAAUUUCCGACGCACAGUAGAAAAAUAUGAACUACACGGAAAAAUUGACUUAUUCAUAAAAUGUGUUGCAAUUACACCUUCAAAAUAACUAAUCGGUCGAUGCUCAAAAUUUGUAUUUCUCCAAUACAAUUUUGGGUAGAUUUGGGGCGCAAAUAUACAUAAGCAAACUAAAAUGCGAUUAUUCAUGCUCUGUAUAAAAAGUUUGCUGUUGUUGGAAAGCUUGGACGGGGAUGUCAAGCAAAAAAGUUUUUUCAAAUUCAUUACGUGCUUCACGAGGAUUUUAAUUUUUCAUCGUUUUAAAUACGUUUUCAACAUAAAUAUUUCACAAAAGGUAUAUUGUGCACAGAGUUGCUGCAUCCUGGUGUUUUUCAUAAUCCGGCCUUGCAUACAGCCGGAAGAAGCCAUAAUUCAUAUUUGAAGCUGACUGGAACACCGAAAAUUAUUUACGACAGCGACUCUGAUGGUUUUAUGGUUCCGGAAGAUUGGAAGAGUGCACCGGAUGGUACGAGAGCUGGUAAGUAACUGAUUAUGUUUUCUAUUGGAAAUAGCGAAAAUUGGGAAGGUUGAAUUAAAUUUAUUUUUUUAAGUACUUUAAACCGAGCGGAAUCUUCGAAAAGGAAAAAUAUCAAUCGAGAGGAUGCCAGUAAGUAGGACGUAACUGCUGAGGCUAGCAGCCGUUUCGUUGUAAGCAGCUCAUCGGAAAUAUACAAAAGGUUUACUACAUACUGUGAGUACUGUGACUGAAUCGUACGGACGCCAAUCCGUACCGGAUGCUGGAUACUGAUGAGCUCCAAAACGGAACCGAACUGGCUCAGAAAAAAGCCCUAAGAAUGAGGAACUUCGGAACCAAUUAACCACAACUGACGACCAAAAAGAAGGAAGACUUAAUAUCGCCCGACGCUGGCAGACACGAAAUUUAUAUACCCGAUUACAUCGUUUCAACUACUGCUUUUAACAUAAUAAAUAAAGAAUUAAA